rnacentral:lncRNA from 1 species
AUCCAUCAGCAAAGCUCACCCUCUCCACUCUCCAUCUACUUAAACUACUUCUUCUCAUCAUCAAAGCUCCAUUUCUCCAAACCCACCAAAACCUAGCUCAAACACCCACCAAUCUUCACCGAUCGGCCUCCCCCACCAUAGAAAAAAACCCUCCUCCACCGAUCGACCUCCUCCACCGAAUGCCUCCUUCAUUGAUCGGCCUUCUCCAUCGACGAGCCUCCUCUACCGAUGACCUCCUCCACCGACGAGCAACAAACCAAAUGGGAAAGACCUCAUACUCUCUUCUUUGUUCAUUUUUUUAGGUUUUUUAUUUCUGAUUUUGGUUUUUGAUUUCUUAAAGGUUUCCAGAUUUGUUGAGCUCCAACAAUAUAUUUAAUAAAAAGAUUUGAAGGGUUGUACAAGUUUUAGAUCUAGUUAAGACGGUACUUUGUUAAUUUUAGAUAUUGAUUUCAUGUAUUUCCCGUCUUCUUUACUUUUGGUUGUAUUGAUAUUCUAUUAAAAUUUGAUUAUGGUUUUUGUAGUUAAAUGAUUCAUUUGUUUAUAAUUAAUCGAUAU